rnacentral:rRNA from 1 species
UCUCAAAGGAUUAAGCCAUGCAUGUCUAAGUACAAGCCUCACUAAGGUGAAACCGCGAAUGGCUCAUUAAAUCACACCUAAUCUACUGGAUAGUAGUCAGUUACUCGGAUACCUGCGGUAAUUCUGCAGCUAAUACGUGCAAACAAGCCUCGACUUCGGAAGAGGCGCUUUUAUUAGAUCAAAACCGAUCGGCUUCGGCCGUCCUUUUGGUGAUUCUGAAUAACUUUGAGCUGAUCGCAUGGCCUCGAGCCGGCGACAUAUCCAUCGAAGGUGUGCCCUAUCAUCUGUCGACUGUGGCAUAGACGCCCACAGUGGAUUUGACGGGUAACGGGGAAUCAGGGUUCGAUUCCGGAGAGGGAGCCUUAAAAACGGCUACCACAUCCAAGGAAGGCAGCAGGCACGCAAAUUACCCAAUGACCGAAGGUCGAGGUAGUGACGAAAAAUAACGAUACGGGACUCAUCCGAGGCCCCGUAAUCGGAAUGAGUACACUUUAAAACCUUUCCAACGAGGAUCUAUUGGAGGGCAAGUCUGGUG